UGUAUGAGUUGUGWUUGGGWUGUUUCUUGCUGGCUGGCUCCAUGCUCUUGCAUCGAACGGUUGGCAUGCAAUCCUGUCUCAUUCUUUGUUGCCGCGGUGCGUGAUUGUGGUUCCUGUGUUGCCUACCUCUCGAAUGGUAUUCGCGUGGCUCGUCGGAUUUUGUCCAUCCAGUUCUCCUCCUCCGAGGGGUUCUGGGGGAUUCCAAAGCGAUGCGCAUGCUCCACGGUAGUUGAUCGCUAUUGAAGCAAUCGUGGCGCAUGCGUGCUCGUUGUUCUCUCGGAUGCGGUGCAUGAGAUGAAACAUGGGAAAUUUUCCCAUUCAGUCCCUUUAAUCUCGGUUGCCUUGAAUGACACUUGCCUUCGUGCUCGCUUGCUCUCCAUUCGUGGUCGCAUGCGGGCACCGAUGAGCAAAGUUGUUAACGGAUG
rnacentral:misc_RNA from 1 species